UUCGUUGUCGUAGAAACCUGAU
rnacentral:miRNA from 2 species